rnacentral:lncRNA from 10 species
CUCCUGCGCCCCGGGGUGGGGCUGGCCGGGCUACUCGGGCCACGCAGCUGGAACCUGGAAAUUAGGAUUGGAAUCCUGAACUCCUAAAUCCAAACUACAGACUGGAAGUUACCAAAAAAUGUCACAGUGGUUCCUUGAUCAGGUAGAAAGAUGACAGAGCCCAACAUACCAGAACCUAGAAAGGAGGCGAAGGAGGCGGUCUAGAGGGAAGAGCACUUUGGUCAAAGGAUCAGGUGCAUAAAUGCGGAGGAAUGAGGAUGCCCGGCUUGCUGGAGGAUCAAGGGAAGUCCAGAUGGCCUGCAGGAGCCAAGAAGUCUGGAGCAGCCAAAAAAACACAAAAGAAGUGCAACAAAAGAAGCUCCUGCCUUGACUGAUUGACCAGCCUUACGACGUUCCACCAUUAUGAAUUGUUCCUGUCCUGCCCCAACUGAUCAAUCGACCUUGUGACAUUCUUCUUCUGGACAAUGAAUCUUAUGAUCUCCCCACCAUGGACCCUGUGACCCCCUCCUCUGCUGACAAUAGAUAACCACCUCUAACUGUAACAUUCCACUGCCUACCUCAGUCCUAUAAAGCUGCCCCUCUCCUAUCUACCUUCGCUGACUCUCUUUUCGUACUCAGCCCACUUGCACCCAAGUGAAUAAACAGCCCUGUUGCUCACACAAAGCCUGUUUAGGUGGUCUUCUAUACGGACACAUGUGACAGAUAGCCAAUGGGUAAAACAACCAAGAAGACUGCUUUUGUCACUUAUGACGAGCUUUUACAGUUUCCCAGUUAGAUGGGAGAGAUUAUAAUUUAGUGAGGAUACAUCCUGGGAGAUGAAGAUGACCCUAUGUACAUCUUCCAGUCCAAUUAUAAGGCACAUAUGGCCAGCCAUGUGACCCACAUGCCCAUAAUCAACCCCAAGGAGAAGUACAAGCACCUAGCCAUAAAGACUCAUUUUGCCAUCCCAUCCACGUUUGGCUAGUUACAAGAAGGGUGCAAUUAUAGUGUUGGGGUAGUAACCAUUCCAUGUUACAGGUUUCAGUGUAGUAAUCACUGCUAUUGUCUUUCAAAGCAUAGGGGCACUCUGCCUAAUACCUGAACUUAGACAGCUGUCAUCCAUUCAUCGUGUACAGUAUAACCUUACGUCAGAGUGGAGUUUAAUUUUCUGAUCAAACAAAAAAGAGGCUUCUUUGUUUCACGGUGGGAAGGGAAAGGGCUGGGCCCUGUGUUUCUGUAGUAGAAGGGAAAAAGGGUGGUCCAUUUACCCCAAUCAUAAUAAUUUCCCCAUAUGCUCAUAGUGGCUGGCAGGAUGUGCCAGGGCAGCCUGAGGUGGAGGAGGCAUUAGUUCCGUGCAUACUCAGCAAUUAGUGUUGUUGUGUAGGGAGGCUAAAGUCUGUGCCCAUUUGGCAAAGAGAUUGCUUCUUAGCUGGUUCCAAUACAUGCGCAGAAUUAAGAUGUUAAUCCAAAUCUUUAAGUUAUU